ACAGUCUAUUGGACUAGCUUUCAACAGUAACACCAGGUAGCAGAAAGAAGAAAUGGCAAAACUAGCUCUCUUUCUGUUCCAUUGUGGAAGACAGAAAGAACCUCUUUUCUACUAGGAAAAGCCAGGGAUUUUGGAGAAUUCAGGGCAAAGGAGGAGAAGAAGGAAGAUGCUGAACUUCCUACUAAAAAUACAGCAUAAAGACAUAGAGUUGACAGUUGACACUUUGGCAGGAGCCGAAAGAUCAAAGAAGAGGACUGCAGAGAGAUGAAGACAGCAGUAAUUUGUUCUAGAUCUCUGCUCCCUGAAAGCACCUUAAAGUUCUUGUAAGCUUAAUUUUAACUUAAGCACUGAUUCCUCUUCUCUUAUAUAUUUUACAUUUGUGUUUCCACUUUGAGUUUUAAUUUAGUAUUUUCAAAAUUUCCACAAAAUAAGUAGAGAUGAUACAAAGCAGUUUUUAUACUUUGUAAAACCAUGUUGUAGCAGGGUUCAACAGUUUUUUAGAUAGUAUAAAAAAAUUCUUAGGAUUAAAUUUUUCUUCUCCUAACUUCUUUUGAGGCCGAUGAAAACAAGCAUUUUUGAAACUGAAUAUAAUUUUAUUAAACCUUAAAUCUGAAAUGAGUAUUAAAAUCAGGAAUUCUUAUUACAUUUUAGUUUUUAGCUCCUUCUCUAACAUAAAUGGAAUAAAUAUGAAUAUGUUUUAUAUUUUUAGCCUCAUUGUUUUUCUGUUUUCUUCUAUUCUCAUUCUUCAUUUUGAUUAGCCAAUUCUAAUCAUCCUCGUAAGCACAACUCAAGUCUUUUCUCUUCCAGGAGGUCUUCUAAGAAUAUUCCAGGGUAAAUCUCCCUGUCUCUAAAACUCAUCAAACACGGGAUCAUGAGUUCCUUUGUGAUAAUUUUGUUUUGUUGCCUUAUUAUUCAGCAUUCCACAUAUUUUCCCUUCAACUAGAUUGCAAAUUCCCUGAAAUCAGGGACUAGGGCCGUAUAACUGGGAAUUUUAGAAUCGCAGACUCUCAAGCUAGAUCGCCUUGGGUGAAUCCCUGCUCCCUCACUACUUCCCUGUGGGCUUAUGGCGACUUCUCUAAGUAGUUUCCUCUUCUGCCUAAAAAUACUCUAAAAUAAAUGUCACUAUUUUUCCAAUAAUAAUAGGUAUCUUUUACAUAGCACUUUAGCAUAAUUUAUUAGAUUUAAUCCUGAUAAUAUUCUAUUAAAUAUAUGUUAUUAUUCUCACUUUAUAGAUGAAGAUCCUUUUGCUCAAAGAAGCCAAGAGCUUGCAUGAGAUGAUAGUUAAGAGGUGGAACCAAGGCUUGAAUCCAAGGCCUUUCAUCCAUACCAAAGUACUUUGCUUACUGACUGUACUGUAUUAGGUCAUUGAUGAAUUGUCUCGUGCUUGAAAUCUUUUCUUACAUGGGCUUUCUUAGCUGUAGACCCCUGUUAAUUUCCUUCAGUUUCUGUCUGUUUAUUUCCCUGCAAAAUUCCCCUCUUUCCACCUCAAGAAUUUUAAGAACAGGAGAGGGUUACUUGUGUAUCAGUGAUCAUUUCACUAUGUCUAAUCAAACUCUGAAAUUAACUGGAAAUUUCCUGCUUGACUUGCAGAGUCGCUCUCUGUACAUUUUGUGCUUUCCAGCCUCAUCUUCUCUUGACCACCUUUCUGUGACUGCGUCUUUCAUUCACGUUCACUGCUUCAUCGCUUACUUCCUUUCUUCCCCUAAAGCCAUUACAUCUGUCCUUCCUUACAAAAUAUGUUUCUUGUUGGUUGAGUCUGUUUUUAAUUCAAGCCUUCAGUCAUCCUUCAUUGCCUGGGGUACUUACAGCUUGUCUGAAAGCCCAUUUGUAAUUUUACCCCUUUACUUCAGAUGUCUCUUUCUUUUCUCCUUUUAAGAUUCUUGUUCUAUUGAUUUUCUUAUAGUGUUAUCCCUUUAUCUAUUGCUUGUUCAAGCUUUACUAUUUUUCUGUGCUCACUAUAACUGAAUGAGUUGAAAUUUAUCUGUUAAUAAUCACACGUAAGUUGUUAACGAGUUCACUCUGUAAUUUAACUAUAUGUGGAUUGAAAAGAAAAACCUACCUCUGCUUCUUUUUAUGAAUCUAAAUUUAAAAACUAGGAUUUUAUUUUGUUUUACAGAUGAUGGAAUUUCAGGAGUAGGUAAAGUUUAGGUAAGAUAAAAAUUUCUAUGAAAACUCAAGUGGACCAUAAUCCUACCUAAGAUAAAUAAGCAAAUUUUGGCAUAAAUAUGUGUCUCAGUGUCUAUAAAAGACUUGAGCCUCUCUCUCUGUAUUGCUGUAGGGAACUCAUGAUCCUGACUGUCUUUCUAUCUUGAUUGUUUUUUUUUCUCAUAGCAGCCUUCACAGUGGCUGUUAAAAUUCAAGGUGACUCAAUCUCUUGGGCUUUCUCUCUCCAGGUUUAGCUAUCAAGCCUAUAGCCUAAAAAGCAAAACUGAUAUUCUUACAUUUAAAACCAAUGUCAUAUUUCAGGUUCCCAAUAAUAAUAUAGAUUAUGCAUCAUCUUUGGGAAGACACAAGACUAAUCAGUAACACUGAAUCCUACCAAAGUUUAAGAAUGUCAUAAUAGAGGCUCCACUAAAUUGACCCACCCCUUGAUUUUAAGGGAUCCUAAUUUGACAACUGUUGUGGUCUUGUGUUUAAUAGAACUCUAUUAUGCUCGUAAAUUAGCUCAAGAAAAUCAAACAUAUCUGGAAUUUGGAUCUCUGUCUCAAGAACUGCCUUAUUCUUCAUUCUCUCAAGGUAUCAUUCAGUCAAGGGUAUCUGAAGUUUCAUGACAGUCUCUUGCUAUGAGAUAAAUUCUAGCCCUGGGCUAAACAUAUAGGGAGACGUAGGCUCACAGACUCCUUCACUCAGUAAUAAAUCCCAUUUUUACUGUUGAUUACCCUACUUAUUGCUCAAGUACUUCUAAUGAGUACCUGAGUCCUUCCUGCUAAGCACUUUGGUUUGAGUCUCUGCUCUUGUGUUGCCCAGAAUCUCUGAUCUUUGGUCUCAGUCUUCUAGCAUGGCUUCCAGUCCUCCCAGAUGCCUGAUCUACCUGAUUUCUACUCAAGGUCUAAGGUACUUGCCAAUUCCAGCCUAUCUCUGUUGAUUUUCUUAACUUGUAUCUUUGCCUACUUAGAUUUUCUUUAGUCACAGCUUUAAAAUUUUGUUUCUUACAGCCAAGUGACUCAUUCUGCCCCUGUUGCCUCUAUCCUUUUUUGUUUCAAUCUAAGCUCAGGUGAAAUACCCUGGCCAGUCAUUCUACAACUUGCACAUUAUGUGUGAAGGAAGUAAUAUUGUCUUUCUCAAUGCACCGCCUUUGUAAUUUAAUCAAAUAUAACACUGAAAUCAAAAGAAUGAUGAAUACGCACGUCAAUGUACUUGUUGAAUGAAUUCAUAUGUUAAAUUAUCUACAAUUAUGAAAUGGUAAUAUAACUAUUAAAGUUUUCAUUCAAUAAAUAAAUCAGAAUGGUUUAAAUAGCCUCACUCUACUAUUACCUCAGGAUUUCAGCACAUCUUGCUAAAGAUGAUUUAUUUUUAGUUAUAGUUAAAAAGGGCAAGCUAUAAUUUCCAGUACGAUAAUGAAAAAAUUGCUUCUCUUAAAAUAUAAAAUCUAAUACCUUGGCAGAGACUUAUUUAUGCGUAUGAAUGAAUCAGCAUGGGAAAUAAUACAAAGGAGAAUUUUAAUAAAUGUUCAUUGAAUAGAUGAAAAAAUGGUCCAACUAACCAUACUAUUUAUUUUUCAUGACAUAUUUUGGACCUAAUUAUUUUAUUUACUCACAUAUGUCUGUUUUCUUCCCUCAAAAGUUAUGAUGGAGCUAAAUUAUAGGCCAGUUGAUAACAAAGAGAUUUUAAAAACUCCUAUCUGAUUGGAAUGUCAUGUGGAGAAUUUAACUUCCUAGAAUAUGUCCAAGGAAGUUUUUCAAGUGAAUAUGUUUGCUGCUUUUUUCUGUAUCUAGCAAUUAAAUUCACAUAUGUAUUAUUUGAUAUCAGACAUAAACAUCAAUUCAUUGCCAUUAUAAAGCUUGUAAACAGGGUACAAAAAUGCUUAUCUAUACUGAGACUUUUAAUCAGACAUACGUGCUAGAGUGGGAUCUUAGUAUUUGACAUGAAUGUCCAUGGAAAUUAGCUGGUGCAAUAUCAUGUGUUAGAUAUGAUAAUGUUUAGUUGCCAGUAACAGAAACCCAAAAUAACAAUGGUUUAAAUAAGAGGGCAAUUUAUUUACAUCUUAGAUAAAAUUCCAAAUGGACAGUGCAGUGCUGCAGGGGAGAUCUGUCCUACACAGUCGGCAGGAACCAUAUUCCUCCUUUGUCGUUCUUCAAUGCAUAGAUUUCUAUUCCCAAGGUCUACUCAUGGUCCAAAUUGGCUGCUCCACCCACAUUCUAGAAAGCAGGAAGGGAAAAAUGGAACAAGAAAGGAAGAAAAUGUGUGGGCCAGUUAUUUUAAAGAAAAAAAUGUUGUGCUUACAUUUUAUUGGCUAGAAUUCAGUCAUAUGCCACAUCAAGCUACAAUGGAGACUAGGAAAUGUAGUUCAUAUUCUUGGCAUCCAUGAGACCAACCGAAAUGUCAGAAGUUUUUUAAUUAUGGAAGAGGAGGACUGCUGAAGGGCCACUUCUUCACUGCCAUAUGUGAAUUCUUUUGAUUAAGGAAGCUCUGAAAGCAAAGAUUGAAAUAUGUAAUUACUUUGAUUAGUCAUUGGAGAAUACUGCAAGGUAGUCAAUGUAAAUUUUUAAUGUAAAAAUCACAAUGUGUUUCCAUAGUGUAACUACCAUGUAUCUUGUCAACUUUACAAUUGAAAUACACUUGGAAUAAAGCACAGAAAAAAUAAGUGAAUAAUAAAAGUCAAACAUUAGUCAUAACUUCUAAUUGUCUAUUUACCAAACCAUGUUAGGUAUAAAGGACAUGGAUUGCUAAAAAUUAUCUGAAAUUAAAAUAAGCCUCCUUAGUAAAGUGGAAUUUCAGUAUAAAAUUACCUACAUUAUUGCUUUGAGUGUGGGGAAAAAAAAGGAGAACAGGACACCUGAUGGAAACAAAUCAGGUGAACUAGAAGUCCUGAUGAGCAUCAUCUGGCAGAAGGUUGGGCUAGUUGCUCUAGCAUUGAAGAGAAUUAGGAAGACAAACAAAAAUGAGGAAGAAAUGUCUGGAAAUUUAAGCUUUAUGUAAGUUUAAAGAGAAUAUCAAUUCAAGAAUGUUCCAAUUUUGGUGAUCUCUUACUUCAUUAUUUGUAUCACUUGUUUUGCACAGUUUUCUCCCUUUUUUGCACCUGCAUUUGCAAGAUAUGAAAAAUGUGCUCCAUAACGUCCCACCCCCCUCCCCACUCCCCAGAAACACUCUGCUCAAUUUGUACUUUACUUUGUGAAAGGAAGCUUAGG
rnacentral:lncRNA from 1 species